rnacentral:rRNA from 1 species
GAUGAACGCUGGCGGCGUGUCUAAGGCAUGCAAGUCGAGUGCAAUUCGGUUGCACGGCAGACGGGAGCGUAACACAUUGGUAACCUACCCUGAAGAGGGGGAUAACCUUUCGAAAGAAAGAAUAAUACCCCAUGUGCUGUGAGUAUUAAUUACUCUCAGUAAAACUUUUGUGCUUCAGGAGGGGCCUAUGUUCUAUCAGCUUGUUGGUGAGGUAAAAGCUCACCAAGGCUAUGACGGAUACCGGGUGUGAGAGCAUGACCCGGCUCAAUGGGACUGAGACACUGCCCAU